rfam:Trichobilharzia regenti genome assembly, scaffold: TRE_scaffold0010349
GUACUGCUGAAGAGUCCCAAACUAGGACGACGGAAACAGCUGUCCAGUAC